GACAGAGGGGGCAAGCGUUGCUCGGAAUUACUGGGCGUAAAGCGCACGUAGGCGGCUUUCUAAGUCGGGGGUGAAAUCCUGGAGCUCAACUCCAGAACUGCCUUCGAUACUGGAGAGCUCGAGUCCGGGAGAGGUGAGUGGAACUGCGAGUGUAGAGGUGAAAUUCGUAGAUAUUCGCAAGAACACCAGUGGCGAAGGCGGCUCACUGGCCCGGUACUGACGCUGAGGUGCGAAAGCGUGGGGAGCAAACAGG
rnacentral:rRNA from 1 species